rnacentral:rRNA from 1 species
GAUGAACGCUGGCGGCGUGCCUAACACAUGCAAGUCGAACGGUCCGCAAGGACAGUGGCGCACGGGUGAGGAACACGUAGCUGACCUGCCUCAGAGAGCGGGAUAACGGGUCGAAAGACCUGCUAAUACCGCAUAAGCUCACGGGGAUUGGAAGCCUGCGAGAAAAGGAGCAAUCCGCUUUGAGAGGGGGCUGCGACCCAUCAGGUAGUUGGUAAGGUAACGGCUUACCAAGCCGACGACGGGUAACGGGUCUGAGAGGAUGAUCCGUCACACUGGGACUGAGACACGGCCCAGACUCCUACGGGAGGCAGCAGUGAGGAAUAUUGCACAAUGGGCGCAAGCCUGAUGCAGCGACACCGCGUGAAGGACGAAGGUCUUCGGAUUGUAAACUUCUUUAGACCUAGAUGAAGACUUCAAGGUGAACAAUCUUGAAGUUUGACAGUAUAGGUAAAAUAAGCCACGGCUAACUCUGUGC